rnacentral:lncRNA from 1 species
AAAAUGACGUGGAGAACAGUUUCUGUUCUAGAUAUUGAGAAGUCCAAGAUUAAGGCAAUGGCAUUGAUGAGAGCCUUCUUGCUGGGUCCUGAAGAGGGGAGGAAUACCAUGUCCUCACAUGGCAGAAAGCGGAAGAGCAAAAAGAAAGAGAAAGAGAGAAAAGAGAGAGAGAGCAAAAUCCCUCCAUCAAGCCCUUUAUAAUGGCAUUAGUCCAUUCAUGAGAGCAGAGCAUUCAUGUUCUAAACAUCUCCCACCAGACCUCACCUUCCAACACUGUUGCAUCGGGGAUGGAUUUUCAACAUGACUUUUGAAGGGGACAAAAGCAUUCAAACCACAGCAAUUAGAAAAUGCACGUGGUAUAUAUUAAGUGACAAAAACCUAAACGAAUUUAGUGUAAACUGUUCUAAUGUUUGUCUAUCUUCCUUUCUGAGAACAAACAAUCGAUUCCAAUGAUUUUGGAUAACCACAUCGUGAAGUGGCUCUUUUUUCAAGGCUUGAAACAACAAAACUGAGGGAGUGAAUUAAGGGCAAAAAUCUACUUUUAAUUUAAGAAUUUAUAUGAGUGACUGGAGCACAGAGGGCAUUUAUAAGGGUGCUUACUAGGGAAGGGGGCAUCGAGUCACCACUGCUUUGGUCAAAUUGUACUUCAGUCAACCAAAUCUUCAUGGGUUCAUGGAACAAAUCAAGUAAUUGGGGAUCCAGCAGAAGUAAAGCACAACAAUCUAAAAGAAUAAUGGACCCACUGCCCAUUACUGACUAUACAUUGUAAAUAACCAGUCCAUGGAUGUGUCCCUGCAUUGGAACCCAAGAUUAAGAUUUGGAUAUGGAUGAUGUAUGCUUAUAUAAGUCUUUUUACUUGUUUGUCUACACUGUCUUAAUAAAUCAGUCUUUUUUUUCUACAUGCCUUGUGGAAAGUAUACUUCAUUUCAUCAAAAUAAAUAAGUAGGCUAGGGAGAUUUUGGAUAAAUUAGUCCUUAAAAUUAUCAAUUUAACCCAGAAAACACUUUAUAACCUGAUGUGGUUUGGCUGUUUCCCCACCCAAAUCUCAUCUUGAAUUGUAGUUCCCAGAAUUCCCAUGUGUUGUGUGAGGGGCCCAGUGGAAGGUAACUGAAUCAGGAGGAUGGGUCUUUCCUGUGCUGUUCUUGUGGUAAUGGAUAAGUCUCAUGAGAUCUGAUAGUUUUAUAAUGGGGAGUUCCCCUGCACACACUCUCUUGCUUGAUGCCAUGUAAGACAUGACUUUUGCUCCUCCUGUCUUCCGCCAUGAUUGUGAAGCCUCCUCAGCCAUGUAGAACUGUGAGUUCAUUAAACCCC